rnacentral:rRNA from 1 species
CCUAAGGUAGCGAAAUUCCUUGUCAGGUAAGUUCUGACCCGCACGAAAGGCGUAACGAUUUGGGCGCUGUCUCAGCUGUAGACUCGGUGAAGUCUUAGUACCUGUGAAGAUGCAGGUUACCCGCGACUAGACGGAAAGACCCCAUGGAGCUUCACUGCAGGUUGAUAUUGGGAUUUGAUGCAGCAUGUACAGGAUAGGUAGGAGGCAAAGAGAUGGAUACGCCAGUAUUCAAGGAGCCGCUGUUGGGAUACUACCCCUGUUGUAUUGGAUUUCUAACCGGACGACGUAGAACCGUUGACGGGACAGUGUCAGUCGGGCAGUUUGACUGGGGCGGUCGCCUCCCAAAGAGUAACGGAGGCGCCCAAAGAUACCCUCAGCUUGGAUGGAAACCAAGCGCAGAGUGCAAAGGCAAAAGGGUGUUUGACUGCGAGACCCACAAGUCGAGCAGGGACGAAAGUCGGGCUUAGUGAUCCGGCGGUGCUGAAUGGAAAGGCCGUCGCUCAACGGAUAAAAGCUACCCUGGGGAUAACAGGCUGAUCUCCCCCAAGAGUCCACAUCGACGGGGAGGUUUGGCACCUCGAUGUCGGCUCAUCGCAUCCUGGGGCUGUAUUCGGUCCCAAGGGUUUGGCUGUUCGCCAAUUAAAGCGGUACGCGAGCUGGGUUCAGAACGUCGUGAGACAGUUCGGUCCCUAUCUGUCGUGGGCGUAGGAUAUUUGCAAGGAGCUGUCCCUAGUACGAGAGGACCGGGAUGGACGCACCUCUGGUGCACCAGUUGUCACGCCAGUGGCACAGCUGGGCAGCUAUGUGCGGAACGGAUAAACGCUGAAGGCAUCUAAGCGUGAAGCCGCCCUUAAGAUAAGAUAUCCCUUCUGUUUACAGAGUAAGACCCCUUGAAGACUACAAGGUUGAUAGGCUCAAAGUGUAAGCACGGUGACGUGUUUAGCUAGCGAGUACUAAUCGGUCGAGGGCUUAACCUU